rnacentral:rRNA from 1 species
AACGAACGCUGGCGGCAGGCCUAAUACAUGCAAGUCGAACGCCCCGCAAGGGGAGUGGCGCACGGGUGAGUAACGCGUGGGAAUGUGCCCUUAGGUGCGGAACAACGUUUGGAAACGAACGCCAAUACCGCAUAAUAUCUCCGGAUCAAAGAUUUAUCGCCUAGGGAUCAGCCCGCGUUGGAUUAGCUAGUUGGUGGGGUAACGGCCUACCAAGGCGACGAUCCAUAGCUGGUCUGAGAGGAUGAUCAGCCACACUGGGACUGAGACACGGCCCAGACUCCUACGGGAGGCAGCAGUAAGGAAUAUUGGACAAUGGGGGCAACCCUGAUCCAGCCAUGCCGCGUGAGUGAUGAAGGCCUUCGGGUUGUAAAGCUCUUUUAGGUGUGACGAUGAUGACGGUAACACCAGAAAAAGCUCCGGCUAACUUCGUGCCAGCCGCCGCAGUAAAAC